rnacentral:rRNA from 1 species
UACGGAGGGUGCAAGCGUUAAUCGGAAUUACUGGGCGUAAAGCGUGCGUAGGUGGUUCGUUAAGUCCGUUGUGAAAGCCCCGAGCUCAACUUGGGAAUUGCAGUGGAUACUGGCGAGCUGGAGUGCGGUAGAGGAAGGUGGAAUUCCCGGUGUAGCGGUGAAAUGCGUAGAGAUCGGGAGGAACACCAGUGGCGAAGGCGGCCUUCUGGACCAGCACUGACACUCAAGCACGAAAGCGUGGGGAGCAAACAGGG